rnacentral:lncRNA from 1 species
GAAUGUGUCUAGUUUUUCUUAGGUUUUUCAUGGUGUUCAGGUUCUCUUGCCUGCUCUCUGUUGAGUGUUUUUUUUCCCCUCUAUAACUGAGCUCUUUUGAUGUAAACAUGUUCCUUCAGGAAUUAAAUCCAGUCAACUUGUUCACCAUUUGUAAGAAAACACCACUUUUCUGAUGAGAAUCAAGCUCAGACCUUCCAGUUCAGGCUCUGUAGGUUUGGCCCUGGAGUCAGUCCCAGGACCUCAGUUCCCUUGAGGCUUUCUGCUGAUUACAGCUUGCUCCCACCAUGUUUAUCUGUUGGGAUAAUGGGUGCUGGUCCCUCUUAAUACUUUGGUCCAGGAAGAGAGACCAGAUGUCCUAGUUGGUGUCAGGACAUCUGCUGAGUACUGGAGAGUAAGGAGGGGAAGAGGAGCCAGAGUGUCCUGUGAGCCAGGAGUGCGGCAUUUCUGACUUGAGGACCGUGGCAUAUUCUUCUCCAGUUCUUGGGGACCGCUGCUUUCACACGAGUGCGUUUUGUGUUUCUCAAAAGGGUGUCCUGUUGAACCUCCAUUCCCUCUGGGCUGGUAGGUUAUAAGGAGGUGCCCCCUGUAGGCGCACGCCUCCCUUCCAGACUGAACAAGCCACAGCCAGGGUGUGUGGUGUUCAGGCCGAUUUCAGCCCCUGUGCAUACCCCGCGCCUGGGCACCUGCAUGUGUUGUGGCCUUGAAUUAGGGUCACCACCCGAGGUUUUCUAGCUGUCCUUUUACAGCUUCACAAGGCAAAGAGCACCUUUAACCCCCACUAAGAUGGCUCUAGAGGGCUUUCACCUCCUCGGUGCAGAUGGGGGCUGAUUGUCUCCUUCCACUGCUCCUCAGGGGUGGGCGUGGUCCCUGGCAGUGGUCAGUGGUGGGGGGUUGAAUUUUGAGGUGCAUGGCUGAAAAAGCGUAGGUCUCUUGGACCAGAGUGUUGGUAGACAUGGAUGGUCGAGGCUCUGCUGCUGAGAGCACAGAAGAAAAUGAGAGGCUUGUUCCUGGAAGCUGGGGGAAGCAGGUUCUUGUCACACGGCAGCAGAAAGCUUAGUGGGAUUAUGUUCUGCAGGUUUAUGGAAAGCAGAACAUCUAGGUGAUGAAGUUGAAUAUCUUGCUGAGGACGUUGCCUUGUUAAAGGAGCUGUUUGGUAUCUUCUUGCUGCUUAUGGUAAAAUGUGAGAAAAAAUUCUGCCUUUGGACUGGCGCUUCAGUGUGUGCCCCAGAGUUUCUGACCGCCUGCUCUAGAGAUCACACUUUGAACAGCAAGGCUGUAAAGGACCAUGUUUGUUUAUUUGCAGGGUCACACAUGUCAUAUAUAUAAGGAUUUGAAUCUGCUCAUCAGCCUUCAAAAUACUUACUACUGACAAUAACGGUACGGAGCUAAUUAGGAAUCUAAGCCGGUAUAUAAGAACUACACCUUCUCUUACUUUGGCACGUUUUUGUCUUUUGUACUUAGGUUGAAUAGCGUUCCCCUGCCCCCGGCCCCAAAUUCAUGUUUACCCCGGGACCUGUCAAUGUCACCUUAUCUGGAAAUAGAGUCUUGGCAAAUAUAAUCAAGCUCAGAUAAGGCCAUACAGCAUGAGGUGGGUCACAGUCCAGUGACUGGUGUCCUUACACCAUGAGGGCAAUUUGGACAACAGGGACACACAGGAAAACAGGUGAAGACAGAAGCAGUGAUAGAAGUUGGGCAGCCACAUGCCAAGAAACACCAAGGAUGGUUGGCAACCAGCAGGAGCUAGGAGAGAGGAGGGAGCACGUUCUCCCUCCGAGCCCCCAAGAGGGAACCCGCCCGGCUGACAGUCUUGUCUUCAUCUUGGACUCUGGCCUCCAGAACUGUUGUUUUGAGCCACCCAGUUUGUGGUGGUGGUAUGGUAGCCUUAGGAAAUGAAUCCAUCUUCUAACAAGUAAAACUUAGAUAUGGGAGUCGAGGAAAUUAAAAACCCAAUAGAAAAUGUCACUGUUCACAGAGGCAGUGCCUACUAUGGCUGUUGCCCAAAUUGGGAAUUUUGGAAGUUUAAGUUAAGAUAGGUUUCCUUGGGUAAUUCUUAAACCUUUUGCACCAGGUGAGAUUGAGAAUGGAGUGAAAAGACCUUGAACACAAAAUCAAACUUUAUAUCAAACUGAGAAGGAAAAAGAAAGUACUAGAAGGAAGGUUGCAUAAAGUGGCGCCAUGUCUUCUGCAAUUUGUUUCUUGUAAUUUUGGCUCUGGGCUGGCCAGGGAAAUAACAGAUAGACUUGAUAGAAGUCAACUCCUCAAACGACUUUCUUGUCACCCUUUUCCUCCGUCAUAUGCAUUCCACGUGACCUUUGUUCCUUGUGCACGACUUAGAGAUGCUCUCUGAAUGUAAGCAAUUGCUUAUAGCAAUGCUUGCACCAAACAGAUGCCUCAUUUUGUGGAAUAGAGUUGUCCCUGGAAAUUUUGCUUUAAAGUACUUUCUAUGAAGUGAAGUUGUGCCUUUUCAGUUUUUCUGUUGUAGAAUAAAAUAUUUCUUCCGACAAGGAAGUAAUUGUACCCAAUAUGAGUUUUAAGAACUAUUAAAAAAUAUAUGUCCUCCUAACAAACAAAUAUUUUUAAAGAAUAUCCUAUUCAGUAGAACAUAUAUAUUGUCUGGAGUUAAAUUUAGAAAUAUGCAGAGCCUUCGCAGAGACAUAAAGAAAUGCACUGAUGUACCAUAUUUGCAAGGGAAAGUAUCAAUAUUGUAGAGAUGGCAGUUGUCCCUGCAUUAACCCAUAAAUUCAGUUCCAAUCAAUAACUGAACACCUGAAACAUUUUUCAUAGCAGACAUUUUCAAACUUCCUUGAAGAGAAGAGUAUAAGCAACCCCAUGUACCCACCAUCCAGCUUUGAGAGUUGUCAUCGUUUUGGCAGUCUUGUUAUAAUUGUAGGAAUUUGAGGGGGAGAGUGUGUUGUUUUAUUUUCCUGGAGAAUUUUAAAGCAGGGCCAGAAAUCAUCACACCAUUUUGCCUGUUACUACUUCAUUUUGCAUCACUAAGUAUCUGUUUUUAAAUGUAACUAUUCUAUUAUCAGACCUAAAGAAACGACUGGUAAUUCCUUAAUGUCAUCUGAUGCGCACGUCUCAGGUUGUGGCCAAAGAUGGCUUUUUGCACUUUGUUUUUUUGAAUUAGGAUAUAAACAAAAGUCCUUACAUUGCAUUUGAUUAUAUCCUUUAAGUCUCUUGGGUUGUAUAAUGGCUUCCUUCUUUUUAUUCCCUGCAGUGUAUUUGUUGUGUAUGGGGAUAUGGGGGCUAUGUGUAUUCCAGUGGAAUGUUGCCUGAUCCUUCUCUUAAAAACCUUCUUUCCACCUGAGGUUUUAGUGUCCUUUGUUAAUGAUUGCCUAGAAUCAUGAUUUCCUUAGAGCUUGAAAAACAGUGUAUUUCUAAUGAUGUCAUUCUUUGUGCUUUUAUUAGCUAGAAUUCUUUAUAGAACUUACCCCUCAUCAGCUAAAUAGUUAUCCUGAAAUAGUUUAUACACCAACGGCAGAAUAAAUGCUUGAUUUUUUUUUUUUCCUUUAUCCAUGUUCAGAGUAAUGAGCUGAUGCCUGCUUGGUUAUCUACUGCUGCAUAACAAAUUACCCCAAAACUCAAGGGGCAUAAAAUAACAACUGUUUUAUUAAACAUUAUUUGAUAGGUUGGGGAUUUCGGAGCGCUCGGCUGGCAGCCCUGUUGUAUGUAGUAGAAGGUGUUUAACUGGUGGGUGGGCUGAUGUGGACAGUCCCAGACAGGUUCUUCUCACAGGUCUGGCACCUUGGAGGGGAUGGUUAGCGGGCUUGGCUCACUUGGGACUACUUCUCAGAGAGCCUGUCCCCUCAGGCUGAUGGUGGUCCCAUGGUAGUUGGGCUUCUUCCAUAAUACCUAAACUUCUGGGGAGAAUGUUCCAAGAGCCCCAGGUGUAAGCUGCAAAGCUGCUUAUGUCUUGAUGUCUCAGAAUUUCAUUCUUUGGCAUUCUCUUGGUCAAGUGUCACUAAGGCCAGUCUGAAUUUAAGAGGAGUAGGAAAGAAUUUGCAGCCACCUUUAAUCUACCAUAGUACCCUAGCAAAUUCUACUGGUGACCAACUAUUUGAAGAAAUUUAAUAUCACUAUUGAUUUAUGGAAUUUUUUUUACCUUUUCUGGUGCUACACCCAUGGCAUAUGGAGGUUCCCAGGCUAGGGGUCUAAUCAGAGCUGUAGCUGCCGGCCCACACCAGAGCCAUAGCAGUGCAGGAUCUGAGCCGCGUCUGCGACCAACACCGCAGCUCAGGGCAACAGAUCCUUAAUCCACUGAACAAGGCCAGGGAUAGAACCUGCAACCUCCUGGUUCCUGGUUGGAUUCGUUAACCACUGAGCCACGAUAGGAACUCGUGAUUUAUGGAUUUUUGUAUAUUUGAUAUAUUUUAUAUAUCCAUGUCAGUCAUUAGUUUUUACUGAUGCUCAGAUUGUCACAUUUUUGGCCAGUUAGGCCCCUUUAAGUUGGAUCUCAUGAUCUUUUGUUAAGAUGUGGUUAGUUUUUUAAAGAACUAUUUAAAAAAGUUCUAAAUAGAACAUGUUUAAAAGAUAAAUAUUUUAGUCUAUAUAUUAAAAUCUGUCCUCUUAACCAUUUUAAGUGUAUGAUUAAAUGGCAUUAAUUUACACCCAGUGUUGUGCAGCUAUCACCACUAUUCCCAGAACUUUUUCAUCACUCCUAACAGAAACUGCAUGGCCAUUAAGCAGUAACUCACCAUUCCCUCCUCCCUCAACCCCUGGCAGUCUCUUCUCUAUUUUCUGUCUCUGCCAGUUUGCCUAUUCUAGUUAAUGGAAUCAUACAGUAUUUGUCCUUUUGUGGUUGGACACAGCAUAAUGUUUUCAGGAUUCAUUCAUAUUGUAGCACAUGCCAGAAUUUCAUUCCUGUUUUGGCUAAAGGAUAUUCCAUUGAAUGAAUGUACCACAUUUUGUGUAUUUAUUUAUCUAUUGAUUGACACGUGAGUUAUCACCUUUUGACUGCUGCUAAUGAUCCGUGGUGAGUGUUGGUGUCCAAAGAUCUGAGUCUCUUCUCAGCUAUUUUGGGUAUGUACGUAGAAGUGAGGUUGUUCAGUCACAUAGUAAUUGUAUGUUUAGCAGUUUCUCCGCAUUCAUUCCACUUGUUUUCUUUCUCUCCCCUUUCCUUCUCUCCAUCCUUCCUUCCCUAUAGCUGUUCUAGUAGGUGUGAAGGGAUAUCUCGUGAUUGGAUUUGCAGUUACCUAAUGACUAAUGAUAUUGAGUAUCAUUUCAUGUGCUUUUCAACCAUUUACGUAUAUUUGGAGAAAAGUGUACUCAGGCCCUUCACCCAUUUUAAAAUUGAGUUGUUUGUCCUCCUGUGCUAUUGGUGGGGAUAUAAACUGGUGUAGCCCCUAUGGAAAAUAGUAUGGAGAUUCCUCAAAAAACUGAAAGAUGCCAUAUGAUCCAGCAGUUCCACUCCUGGGCAUAUAUCUGGAGAAAACUAUAAUUCAAAAAGAUGCAUGCACCCCUGUGUUCAGAGCAGCAGUGUUCACGACAACCAAGACAUGGAAACAACUGAAAUGUCCACCGAUGGGUGAAUAGACUCAGACAGGAAAAGAACGAAAUAAUGCCACUUGUAGCAACAUGGAUGGACCUAGAGAUUAUCAUACUAAGUGAAGUCAGAGAAGGACGAAUACCCUAUGAUAGCACUUAUAGGUCGGAUCUAAAAUAUGACACAAAUGAACUUAUCUAUGAAACAGAAACAGACUCAAAGACAUAGAAUAGAGAACAGACUUGUGGUUGCCAAGGUGGGGUAGGGGAGGGAUGGAUUGAAAGUUUAGGAUUAGCAGAUGCAAACUAUUAUUCAUAGAGUGAGUAGGAGUUUGCUUGUGGCUCAGUGGAUUAAGGAUCCAGCAUUGUUACUGCUGUGGCUCUGGUUACAGCUGUGGUGCGGGUUUGAUCCUGGCC